rnacentral:rRNA from 1 species
GCGGUAACAGGAGGUAGCUUGCUACUUUGCUGACGAGCGGCGGACGGGUGAGUAAUGCCUAGGAAUCUGCCUAGUAGUGGGGGAUAACGUUCGGAAACGGACGCUAAUACCGCAUACGUCCUACGGGAGAAAGUGGGGGAUCUUCGGACCUCACGCUAUUAGAUGAGCCUAGGUCGGAUUAGCUAGUUGGUGAGGUAAUGGCUCACCAAGGCGACGAUCCGUAACUGGUCUGAGAGGAUGAUCAGUCACACUGGAACUGAGACACGGUCCAGACUCCUACGGGAGGCAGCAGUGGGGAAUAUUGGACAAUGGGCGAAAGCCUGAUCCAGCCAUGCCGCGUGUGUGAAGAAGGUCUUCGGAUUGUAAAGCACUUUAAGUUGGGAGGAAGGGCAGUAAAUUAAUACUUUGCUGUUUUGACGUUACCGACAGAAUAACACCGGCAACUCUGUGCCAGCAGCCGCGGUAAUACAGAGGGUGCAAGCGUUAAUCGGAAUUACUGGGCGUAAAGCGCGCGUAGGCGGUUUGUUAAGUUGGAUGUGAAAGCCCCGGGCUCAACCUGGGAACUGCAUCCAAACUGGCAAGCUAGAGUACAGUAGAGGGUGGUGGAAUUUCCUGUGUAGCGGUGAAAUGCGUAGAUAUAGGAAGGAACACCAGUGGCGAAGGCGACCACCUGGACUGAUACUGACGCUGAGGUGCGAAAGCGUGGGGGAGCAAACAGGAUUAGAUACCCUGGUAGUCCACGCCGUAAACGAUGUCAACUAGCCGUUGGAUUCCUUGAGAAUUUAGUGGCGCAGCUAACGCAUUAAGUUGACCGCCUGGGGAGUACGGCCGCAAGGUUAAAACUCAAAUGAAUUGACGGGGGCCCGCACAAGCGGUGGAGCAUGUGGUUUAAUUCGAAGCAACGCGAAGAACCUUACCUGGCCUUGACAUGCUGAGAACUUUCUAGAGAUGGAUUGGUGCCUUCGGGAACUCAGACACAGGUGCUGCAUGGCGUGUCAGCUCGUGUCGUGAGAUGUUGGGUUAAGUCCCGUAACGAGCGCAACCCUUGUCCUUAGUUACCAGCAGUAAUGGUGGGAACUCUAAGGAGACUGCCGGUGACAAACCGGAGGAAGGUGGGGAUGACGUCAAGUCAUCAUGGCCCUUACGGCCAGGGCUACACACGUGCUACAAUGGUCGGUACAAAGGGUUGCCAAGCCGCGAGGUGGAGCUAAUCCCAUAAAACCGAUCGUAGUCCGGAUCGCAGUCUGCAACUCGACUGCGUGAAGUCGGAAUCGCUAGUAAUCGUGAAUCAGAAUGUCACGGUGAAUACGUUCCCGGGCCUUGUACACACCGCCCGUCACACCAUGGGAGUGGGUUGCACCAGAAGUAGCUAGUCUAACCUUCGGGGGGA